rnacentral:lncRNA from 1 species
UUUAACACCUUCAAAAUGUAACUACCCAAUUCCUACCGCUAACACCUCCAAUUAACACAACACCUACAGACAUGCCCAAUUAACACCUUCAAAAUGUAACUCCCCAAUUCCUACCACUGACACCCCUAAUUAACACAACACUUUCAAAAUGUAACUUCCCAAUUCCUACCAUUGACACCCCCAAUUAACACCUUCAAAAUAUAAUUCCCCAAUUCCUACCACUGACACCCCCAAUUAACACCUUUCAAAAUGUAAUUCCCCUCAAAAUGUGUAACUCCCCAAUCUAUUGAAAAAAUGGGUAUCGAUUUCUACCAUCACAAACACCCCCCAAUUUAAAACCUUCAAAAUGUAACUCUAACACGCCCCAAUUCCUACCACUGACACCCCCAAUUAACACCUUUCAAAAUGUAAUUCCCC